UCCGCUCCAGCCCACAAGCUCCGCCCCUCGAAGGCGCCUGUGGUUCCAGUCCAGAGUACGCAGGCGCGCGAGGGACCCGGAGAACUGGCUCCAAGGCGGAGGGUAUUGGAUACUAUAUCUCAACAAUGAAGAAAGUGACUAAGAGAACACUGAAUCCCCUCCCAAUUUUAUCCCUCUUGGUGCUGACUGCUGCUGUCAGGAUCCUGUAAAAGCAGACAAUGGGAAGACAUCUAUAGGAAGCAUAACGUAGUUUUGAGUUUACAGGAAUUAUAGUGAACAGUUAAAUUUUUAGUAUCCUUAGACUGAAGACCAAUUCUGAAAAUGCUACUACACAAAAGUAAAUAUUGUAUGGAUUUUCAAAGUACAUAAAUAGUUCUCAUGAUCCUGUUCUAUUGGGAGAGCAAUACUGAUUAUUUAAAGUUUUGUCUACAACUGUUAUAAGCUGAGGCAUGGUUGGGUGGUCAAAUUCUGCUUAGUCCACAAAUAAGUUCUCUAAGGUCUCAUAGCUACCGACUGGCAGUGUCCAAAUCAAAUUAAGAUUCUCUUCUUUAGCUUGGUGUGGUAGUGCACACCUAUAAUCCCAGCACCUGGGAGGGUGAAACGGGAGAAUCACUGUGAAUUUGAGACCA